rnacentral:rRNA from 1 species
UACAGAGGCCUCGAGCGUUAGGCGGAAUCACUGGGCUUAAAGCGUGUGUAGGCGGAUUGGUAAGUACCUUGUGAAAUCCCACAGCUUAACUGUGGAACUGCUCGGUAUACUGCUGAUCUUGAGCCACUCAGGGGCUACCGGAACAAAUGGUGGAGCGGUGAAAUGCGUAGAUAUCAUUUGGAAACGCCAAUGGUGAAAACAGGUAGCUGGGGGUGUGCUGACGCUGAGACACGAAAGCCAGGGGAGCAAACGGG